GCACACAGCCAAAUGGCCAGGCAGACACAUUUCUCGUGGGUUUGUUCUGUAGCAGUGACUGUGGCAUUCCCAGGACAGCUGCGAAGGAGAGGACAAACUGGAACAGUGGCAGCAGCAGUGAAAGGCACAGACUGAGUGGAUGUCUCAGCCAGGCAGGAAGAGGGCCAGCCAAGAGAGGCUGGGUGCCAGGCAGUCAUCUCUGUGCUUGCUGCCUGCUCCCGAGCCUGGGACUGUAACACUGAGCCUUGCCCCGGGAGCCCUUCCUGGGCAGAAGGAAAGCCUGCCUCUGGAAAGGCGUGAGCAGGAGGGCACAGCACCAGCACACAAACCCCACUGCUCCUCUGCACAAAUAACGGGGACAACAGCCAAAGCCUGGGCACAGGGAUGAAAGCACAUUUGUGAAGAAGUUGUAUCUGGCAGGGAGGACAGAAGGAGCAGCUCUGCUGGGGGAUAUCAACUGCCCCCCUGUCUGCGAUGUGGCUAGAAGUCACGUUCACUACGACUCUGAAGAUCAGGACAACAGCAAAUUUAUGAAGAGGACGCAUUUGAUCGUCGCCUUGAAAUUUUGGAAACCGCCCAGGAGAUGGCAGCAAAUGGCACUCCGGGGGUAGGAGCCUCCGGGCCUUUCAUUCUACUGGAACCACAGCUGAAGGUAUGGAUGUGUUUCUCUGGAGCUAUAUCACAGCACUUAACACCUGGCAGGAUCAUGCUGAGCACCUGCUCCAAGCCAGUCAACAGUACCCACAAAGGUAUCACAGAUUAUCCAUGGCAGGGAGCUCAACAGUUCCAAGAGCUCUGCUUUCCAUGGGCUUCAGACCUCCAUGGUAUCAACUAAAGACUCUUAAUACACCUGUGGGGUACAUCAGCAGCCUCAGGAAACUGUGAGGAAAGCAGAAAAUUAGGUUGUACUGAUUCCUAGCACCAUGAAGUGGAUCCAGGAAAAGUUCUCCAUCCAUGGAGUGUGUGCUGUAACACACACUCCUUUCCUUUCAGCAGGACAGGUUUAACCAUGGGUACACGGCAGAGGUUGUGGUUAGGUGUGUACACACACAGACACUCAGCCUGGAGCAGCUCACAGCAGCCAUAGAUAGCACCGAGAGAACACUCUGGUAGUGCUGUUUAGCAGAAGCAAAGGCAGCCCUGCUGCUUCAUGACUAUAGCUUGGGUUUAUUAAAAAUUCCCAACUGGAAAUUGGGAUUUAUUUAAAAAAUAUUCAUCGAAUUUCCAUAUACAAAAACGCUAGUUACAAGAAUGAAAUUUUUAAAUUACACUUUCAGCUGCAGAUUAUAUAAUGAACUCAGACAGCAGUUCUUAGUAGGCAGGGAGGCCCCACAACACCUUACAGAGACACCCCAUGUCCCUGUGCCCCCCAAGCUAUGUCCCCAGGCUGUGCCACCACAUCACCAAAAUGAAGCCCUACCCAUCAUGUAACAGGGACACAAGGACAUGCCUGUUGAUGAUAAGCUCAUCAUGCAGUCCUUACAAGGAAGUUUAUUUUUUUUAAUUUGACUUUCUGCCUGUCACUGACUUACUAUAUUUACAUCAGCUUUAAAAUGUUCUUUUUCAUCAGUUUUCUUUGUGAAACACUUUCUUAGUAGGUAAAACACAAACAUAAAUAGCUACAGUGAGAGAAUUGUGAAUUGGCUUGAAGUGGGUGCUGCAAAGGGAAAAGGCAAUACAGGAAUACAGAGCAUGUGCAAGAACAGGAUGGUACUGUCCAAAGAGCACAAAAGCUUAUAGAAAAUUACCUUAACAGCUGAAUUUUGAACAAAUUCAGCAAACAAACAGCAAGUGAUGAACCUUAAGGUGAAACACUAUAAUGUUCUUGGAGUGUGAAGUCUCAAAAGCAUUUAUGCUGAAAGCAAAUGAAAGUCCACACCUGCCCACUGUUAAUUUCUGCCUAUGCAUGGCUGGUGCACAUUCUCCUGAGGACCAUCCAGUGAACAGACUGGAUAAAAACCCAAGUUAAAAAUACAACCUUCUUUUGCCUGAGUUAUUUUUUCCCCUAAUCUGCUGCCUCCACUUGGUCUCCAUGGUUACACAAAUACUUCUAGUGGUACCUUUGCUACUGUCAUGUGAAGAAGGUUAGGGAGAAUGGAGAAGCCAGCCUUCAGAAGGCUGCUGAAACUGACACUGCUGCAGAAAGGGAAAUCUCAUCCCAGGAUGCUCUGAGAUUUCACAAACCUUUCCUUUACAGCAGUGUGAUUUAACAAGUCCCCACCCCAGUCCCCUCUUCAGCUGUUUGUAAAUAAAAGAGUGUCACCCUCUCCUCCAACAGUGCCUUGGUGCAGUGGGGAGGAUGUAGGGCAGUGCAGACAGAAGGGAUGUAGAGCAGCUCUGCUGCCACAGGAAAAGCCAUGGAACACAGAGGCCAUUCUCCAGGAUACAGAUCCUGAAAACUGAUCUGACUGGAGCUGGCAGAGAACUCAUGCAGAAAAUGUAACGACGGGGCAGUGAGGAGGGAAAAGGUACUAUUUGUAGCUUGGUGUAAAAGACUCCAAAGAACAGAAUGGACAGUGCCACGGUUUCUCAUUUUUUCUUAACAGCAUAAAAUGGAUGAACUAGAUGGAUUCAGCUCCUCUCCAGCAUUAGAGUGGACUUGGAGGCCAAUCUACACCUAUUUCUUAACAAAAACAAUGCUAAUGUACCUCUGGGGAAACUGUUAAUGCCGGUGACAUGUUUCUAAACAGAACUUCUUGUAUCUUGUUUUUUUAACUAUUACAUUAGCCCUUUGCAGAAUUGUUUCAGUUUGUCUAACAUCAGACUUUUAGCUCCAAAAUGUUUUUCUGCGGUGCUUCUCAAAUCUGAAAGGUCUCCUACCAUCAUGCCAACCCUUAGCAUGACACAAUGACUGCUCUCAAAUAUAAAUAUAGAAAUAAAUAUAGAAUAGAUUAGAACAUACAAACAUCCUUUAUGUACUUGAACAAGGAUAUAUUAUUAGAUCAGUUCAUGAAAAUUGUAUUUAAAUGCAGUGUAUAUAGGUCUUUACUAUUAAAAACUGUAUUUCAUGUAGGUUAAGUCAGAUGAAAAAGAUACAAAGAAAAGAUAAUGAACUAAUCUCAACCUAUUUUUUCCCCCUUCCUCAGUCAUGAAGAGUGCUCCUCAUUCCUUUUACAUCCCUUCAGUGGCAUUAAAAUGGACCAUGCUACCAACAUUCGAUCAUUACCAAGAAGUUCACAGUGCUCAAGCCCAUCAAAAAGUGAAGAAAUGCAGGGAGUGACUCCUAUGAGAUCAUUUACUCCCAGUGAAGAGCAAUUAAUGGAUUGCAAGUCAUGACUGGCAUUCCAGGGAACCACAAAAUCAGGAGGGUGGGAUCAAAGUGGUAAGAGAUCUCUCCUGCUCCAGAACACAUAAAAGACUGGAUUUCACUACUGCUGCCCUCUGUACUUUACACUGACACUACCAUUUCCCCCCUCUAUUCACUGGUUUACAAUACUCUGAUAUGGGUGCUCUCAUUUUCUAACUGUACUUGUAAAUGUUGAAAAGAUUGACUGGGAAAAUGUUUGUCAGAUAAUCAGUCAUUUUUACUAUGCAUCCUUCAGUGUUCAUGGACCUUUCCAGGCUAUUACACACUUCAAAGAAGCUUAUGAUUACCUCCUCAGGAGCUGGAGAAAAAGCAUGAGAUUAUUCUUUACUACCUAAUUCAUUCAAAUGGAGUGAACUCAUUUUUAUAACAUUUGCUAUACUGUUUGUCCCAAAAGCAAGAAUACACUUUUACUUUUAUAAUGCAUGCCUGCAAAUGAAAAUUACCUCUGCUGUGGAAUUGUCUACAGGCUUUGCUAGAUGAGUGAUUUAUGACAGUCCAGACUCAAUUGCACCAAUGCAAAGUGCCCUAUGUUCACAGAAUUUAACUCCCGGUGUUUAAAAAGUCUGAGAGUUGAAUGGAGCAUAAUUAAAGUGAAGGUCAAACUACAUCAUUAUUGUAUUUGCUUGCA